UAUUUUGUAAUAGGAGAAGUAUUGUGUGAUUUGUAAUGAAAGCUUUCAUUCUAUAGAUCUGGGUAAGGACCCACUGGUGCGUGGCAGGCAGGUAGUAGAGAUCAGACACACUCUGACAGAGCCACGGGCCUUGACCGAUCCGGUGCGAACAUCUGGACACACCAUGGAGCUCCACCGGCGGGAUGCUUGUUGGAAACAGGCUAAUGUUCUUCCUUGCCGAAGGUCUCUGGACUUUCAGUACUGUGGUGUUAAGGUGGAGCUGAGUUUCUCUGCCCUGUUCUCCAAUGUCCUGGUUGUGUUUGCUACAGUGAGGAACUCAAGCGCUAUGGCCCAGGACUGCACUCUGAUUCUUGAGAGUGAACCACAAAUGCAGGACAUUUUCUCAGGUUCUGGUCGAUCAGAAGAAAUGGACAGUCUGCUUGUGAACAGUGGUGAAACUCCUGACUGCACCCUCAGAUUAUGUUGCCUUCAAAGACUUCAGGGAUCUCUGGUGAUCAAAGUGACACUGCACUACACCCACACACAAACUAAAGAACGUCUCACUGAGAGCAAAGAGCUGGACAUAGGCAGGCCUCUCAUUGCCUCCUGCAAGCUGAAUCAGAUGAGGCCAGUGGACAGGAGACAAGAGAGCCGUGUCCAUACUGUGGACCACAUGUCCAACAUAAGAUAUCCUCAUCAUCAGAACCAUCCUCGACCUGGUCAGCCCUACACACGCAAGGCUGAGAACCGAUUACAGAGUUCAGCCAAAUCCACCUCCACGAGCAGCAAUGAACCAGAGGAGAAUGAUGAAAAUGACUAAUGAAUUCACUAUGUGAUGUUGCGUCCCUCUACACACACACAGUAAGGCAUUGUUUUGAUGCAACAAAGGAUUUUUCUUACAUGAAUUAUUUACUUUUUGCUUACUAAUUACCAGUUGCGAUACAGUAAAUGUGUAUGUGUGAGAGAGAGAGAGAGAGAGAGCAACAAAAGGAAGAUGUUCUCAUGCAAAUGUAGAAAUAUUUAUACAAAUUAUUUGUAAAUCAAAUUAAGUGUAAUUUUCUUAUAUAACUAAUAAAGUACUACUUCUGUAGUUUUCCUGUGUGAUGAAAUUUCAUAUUCAAAU
rnacentral:lncRNA from 1 species